UAAAUGGAUUUUAAACAUUAAUAUAAUAGGCAUUUAGUAAAGAAUGGGAAGGAAAAAGAACAUUUUAAACAAGCCAGCAGGUUCCUCUGAAUGUAUUUGGGAUGCGGGGCUUGGAUUGGCCACCAAAACCAUCCUGAUGUGCAGCGCGACGCUGGAAUUAAAACCGGGGAAGGGAGUCCUGCCUCUUUGAGAUGCUAAUUCAGGUAAAAGCUCAUUUUGAGGAGUGCAGACGUACUGACCCUAAUGAUUCGGAGCUAUUUGGAGAGCUAAUGGAGGGUUACUAAUUUCAAAGCAUAUCAAUCUCAUAAAAAGUGAAAGGAGAUGGUUCCUUACUCGGCUGUCCUGGGGGAUGUCUGGGGGCUCCCUGGCCCCUUCCUGAGCAGUCCGCUGGCUCCACGUGCCAAAAUGCUCUGCUACACCCACUGCUAAGGCUUGGCCCUGUGGAAGCCAAGGAAAAGUCACUUUAUCUCCCAGGCUGAUGCUGUCAGGAACGGGUACUCUAAUCCUGGUACUCUGACCCACAGCUGCUCUAACCCAGGGGUGUAUUUUUGCUGUAAAACAAUCCCGCUCUUUGCUUCAUUCCCCAGGGUGAGGCAGCAGGGUCCUGGCAGGUGUUUUGGGGCCCCAAAUGUGGCCACUGGUGGUGGCAGGAGCGUUUGGUUCCCAUGUCUUGUGGGAUGACUUUUUGGGGUGACCUUGGCUGGUUUCUGGCUGGGAGCUGCUUGAGGGGCAAGGAUGGGAGAUGUCACUGAGUUGCCCAAAUCUUGUCUUGGCAUUCAUCAGUCUCCUCAAUGUCCUCAUGUUCCCAGUCUUCUGAGCUUCCACAAUAGGGCAUCUACCCAUGGGGCAGGAGCAGAAACCACCAGAAACAGCCAUUCAAAGACGAGAGGAAUUUAAGGGCUGCAAUGUGAGAUGUUGCUGGCAUAUUUGGGUCAUUUGAUCCCUUUCACUUGCCUUCCCAUGCUUGGAUGGAUGAGACACCGAGCUGGUGCACCUGUGGCCCUUGGAGACAGGGAGAGACCAGAGCCUUUGUGCAGAAGUCCAAAAUAGACCUGGAUGAACUAAGAUCAGAAAUGAGCAGUUACAAAUUCUCAAAGCCAGGGCUUCUGGGGACAUUUAGGAGAGCAAAAUUGGGCACACAGGUAUGAAAUGGAGAAGAGGUGGGAAAGCAGCGGCACGGGGGGUUGGGUUGUGAAGGCAGAACAAAUCACAGCCGAAGGCUGAUUGGACAGCAAAGAAAAACUUAUUUAGGGUGUUUAUUAUAAAGAGAGCCACAUGUGAGACCUGGCAGGAAGUGAUCCUGCCUUGUGUGCUCCUACCAGGCAUGAGAGAAGCCUUGUGCCCAGCUCAGGGCUUCAAAACCUUGUAGGCAACUUGUAGGGAGUCCAGAGGGAAGGAACAGAAGUGAUGCUGGGCCACAUCUGGUGAGGGGAGAUGGACUAUGAGCCUCCUGGAGCAGGAUUUGGCUCUCCUGUUCCUUGGGGAAAGGUCAAAGCUGCACUCAAGGAAAAACUGGUUUGAGUUGGAAGAGCAAUGACAUGAUGAGGGGACCAUGUGCAGCCUCUGCCUUGGAGCUUUCCAAGACAGAGAGCUCCUGGGGAGGGAUUGGGUCAUUCAGACCUUCUCCACUUUGUGGCCACCAGGAGCAAAGUAAGACUGGUGGGAAUGCUAUCAGCUCCAUCCUGGUGCCAGAGCUGGGAAGGAGUGGGAAAUGGUGUUUGCAGUCCCCUCUGGAGCUCUCCUGCAGCUCUGCGUGUGCCUGAGCCCUGUGGCUUUGCACAAGGCUGGUGAUUGGCCUUAAACCACGAGAAACAGCAGCGAAGCCAAUGUCAGUCUGUUAACAAGGCCCACAGCACAGCCGGUGCCUCAGUGCUGCAGGAAAAGGGAGAAGCUGCCAGCAGGAGAAGGCUUUGGGACAGGACAUUCCUGCUCUAAGUAGCUUUUAGGGAACACAGGCAGCCCCUGCCAAAGGUUGUCUUGUGAAAUAAGGAGAUGGCAAGAGCUGAGGGUCACCACUUGCCACAGCAAGUCCUAAUGUAAAGGUUUAAGGAGCUGGAGGUUAUGAGUUCAUGUGUAGAUUUAUCCUCUGUGCCGAUAUCCAUCCACCAUGGAAGUCAUGGUCACCAUGGGGGUCACCUGGGUCCUCCUGGCAGCAGUUUUCAGCCUCUUCCACUGGCGUGAGAAGAGGAGGAGAACAGUGCAGUUCAGGCAUGGUGUGGGUGAUGGACACCCUGGUAGGCUGUUUGCAGCAGUCCUGGGUGGAUACUCCCCGUAUUUCCCCUGGACCAGCACUGGGAAGGCUGCAAAAGUGAGUUCAGUCCUGAACGGAGCAUGAAACAGGGGAGGAGAACACGGAGACACAGAGCUCAGCCAAGUUCUGCACUGAUUUUCAUAACUAGUAAAGAUCCGGUAUGAAUAUGAGAUUGAAAGGCCUCAAAGCUGAUUAAAUCUGUUUGAUAUUUGAGGGUUUCCUCCCCCUCCCUCCCCUUUGUUAAAGGACAGUCUCCUCCUUCAAAGUGAGUGAUAGUCUAAAGUCGUAAUGCCGAUUAUUGCUGAGAUUCUCACACAAAUGCGGUGGGGAGAAGGGGGGAAGAAUAAAAAUCCCUGUAGGGUAGUUUAAAGUCGGCGUGAGUAGUGUGUAAUCUACCCAACAGGAUUGAUCCAGGUCAGGCAUUAAAGGCUAAAAUGGAUUAAACAAAAGACAUUCCCCUUGUAACAAGAAGGAAAAACUUCAAAGGUGGGAUUUGUUCUUGUUAUGACAAAGGAAGUGGAUUUACCAAGUGCCUGGGGGCACACACCCCUCCGCGGCUUUCAAUUUGCUCGAGUUGCUCUGAAGAAACAGGACAAAAUGCGUGGGGGUUUUCGCCGUGCGCCUCAACGCUGCCGGGGCCCUCCCCGGGAUUGUCCCUGGCCAGUGGACAUGAAGGUGUGGGCACAUCCCCAUCUCUGCAUGGACCACGAGGGAAAGGACGGGACCUUCAGGCCAACAAAUCUCACCAGGCCAACAAAUCUCACCAGGACUCCAGCACAGUUAUUUCUACAGAGCACGACCAUAUCCCUUUAAACACAAGUGUAAAUGGCUCCUGCUGAGGUGAGGACAAAUGAUGGAGCUGUGGAUUUCCUCACUUCAGGAGCACAUGCAGGUCCAAAGGACCACCCCUGGCUGGAAGCAGGAUCGUGGCAGAGCAGUGGAGGUGAGCUUUCUGCGCUGGGAUCAGCAAGGGGCCCUCGUGCAUGGGGAAAACAUUUGCCUGAUUAUGCUCUACCGCUGCCAAAGCUCUUGUUGGCACAAGGUACUCUGUGCAGUCAGCUUGAAAAAGGGGGAGAAAACACAAAAAUCGAGAAGGCGAAGGAGGUGCGGAGUUCAUAGGAUAUGGGGCAGCGGGGGGAGACGAGAGGUGGGGCUAAAAGAGAAGUAACAUAGGGAUGCUGGGCACCAUGGGGCAGAGGAUGAGGGCAUAAUUCCCUGUGGCAGAAAUAUGCCAUCUGUAAAAACCCAUUUGGGCUCUUUUUAUAGGAAGCAAGGUGGUAAAACUACAUUCUUUAGCAAAUAAUUUAAAUAUUGCCAGUCACGUCACAUUGUGGUUGUUUGGAAAUAAUUAUAUCCAUAUCACAGACAGUAAAUAAUAGAUGUGCUUUCACUAACAUUUUAUUCAUGUUCUGUUUUAAUAUGGCAAACUUAGAAGUAAUUUAAUCUCCCAGUAAAUUGAACUGGUAGGGGGUUCUUCACACAGAAGAUUGCAAGUUAUUAAUUCUAGGCAGUCUUCAUCUUGUACAAUUAGUCACUGUUUGCAGCUGGAAAUGUUUUAUUAAUUUUCCAUAGCAGUUGAUUUUCCACAGUUUUCUCAGUUUAAAUUAAGCAGUAAGAGCCGCUGUUUCUUCUUAAAUAAAUUUCCUUUCCACAAAAAUACAUGCCUCUGGCUAUGUCAAUUUUCCCGUUUGAUUAAAGUGCCAGCAGGCAAUUAAUAACUUAAUGCAUUUUAAAGUACUUUUGGAAAAGUAAUUUGAAUAGCCAAACUUGUAUAUUUGAAUUGAUUGUUGCAGAAGAUUUAACACACAUUCUUAAAUCACAGAACCUUGUAAAGGACAAAUGAAGAGUUGCAGAAGCAGCAGCCACUGUCCUACACUGUCUCCUAAAACCAGAGGGAUCUUCUAAGGCUCCUUCUUUUCUGGGAUUGUCACCCAGAUUGUGGUCUUGGGAGGGGAGUUGAGGCCUGGUUCAUCUGGAGGGUUGCAAGAGAAGGGAUUUGCUGCAUUGGAUGAACUCAUUGGAGAUGAGGUCCUUGGGAAGCCCUGAGGAAAGGACCUGCUCUGAGGUUGAGGAACGCUGUGGCAUUGCCCAACCGUGAGGAGCUGAGGGCACCGUGGGAGACAACUCUGAAUUUCAUCUGGUGCAUCCACAAACUGGAAAGAGAUUAUUUUUCUUGAUGCUGAGCUGACUUCUCUGACCAUCUCAAUGUAGACCUGGAGCCAACUGUAGGGUGGCAGGAGGGCAAGGGGUGGGUGAUUCAUGUUGUGGCUAUCAGCGUUUCACACAUCUGAGAGUACGGCAUGCCCCAGCUGAGAACUUCAACUCACUCAGUGCCAGAUGAAAUGGCAGCUGUGUUGGAUUGAUAAAAAAUAAUAAUCAUGAUGAAAUAAUAGGAUUAAUGCCAGCUAGUGCUGUUUAACCAAAAGGUCAUUUUGACAGAGGUAAAUUUUAUCAGGAAGCACCAAAAUAUCAGAUUUGUUUUUGAUUUUUUGAGGAGAGGGCACUAAGAAGACAAAGUGGAGAUGUUGAACACGCCAGGACUUUUCUGAGCUGUGGCAUUUGGCUGGAAGCAGUUCCCAGUCUGCAAAGAGCAGGUUCCCAGCUCCAGGGACAUCGUGGCCAAAGCUCUGCCAUGACCAGCACCAGGCUCUGUGUCCCAGCCGAGAAACUCACCCUCAAACCAUAUUCCUUUGAACUCUUGGGGGUUUUAUUUUUGUCUCAUUUCUUGAAACUAUGGGGUAGUUUCUGAUUUCUCCACUAGAAAACACCUUCCCGCUGGUCUGGAAAACCCAAUUCAGCAUCACUCCAGUUCCCACCUGCCCCUGGUGACCUGUCUGGUCCCUGUGGGCAGCCUUGGCUCUCCCGGGACUGCUCAGGUUAUGCCACCACUGACUACUCUGCCUUUCCUCCCUGGACUGGGUUUGUGCCCAUCCUAAGGAUGAUGGGGCUAAAAUAUAUUUAAAUGAAAAAGAAAAGAAAAGUUUUAUAGCUCUGCUCCAAGUUGAUUGGGAGGAAUAAGUCUUUAACUGUGUGUCUCCCUUCUGCCGGUGGUUUUGCAGGAUCUCCCCCUCUCUGCUUUCCCAAGAAGCCUGUCCUGCAACCCUGGAUUUUCCCAGUGGGUCUCCUGUCCCUCCUGCAGGUGGGACCCUGCUGCCAGAGGACUCCUUCUGGGCUCUCCAUCUGUCCUUGCUGCACCAUGCAUUGCCCUUUUUGCCUCCUCUGAAGACCAGAGUGGUGUCCUUGAACCUCCCGUGAACCUCACUGCCACGUGCACCAUGUCCAGGGACGUCACCAAUGGCUUCCCCACACCAUGACCAACCUGAUGAGUUGAAGGUGUCUCUGCCCACGGCAGGAGGGUUGGACUGAGUGGCCUUUGAAGGUCCCUUCCAACCCAAGCCAUUCUGUGAUUCCAUGAUUCCAUGACAGCCUGUACCUAGCCAUGCUCCAUCAGCCUCAGGCUCUGCAUUUUUGGAAGUCCCUUGGCAUCCCAGGACCAGAGCUGGGGGGCUGUCCCCUCCUUGCCUGCUCCACCUGCCACCUCCCUGCUGCUGAGGGUGGUUUGUAUCUUGCUGUGUGUGCACCCUCCAGCACAGCCCAGUCACAACCAGCGCACCCCAGUUCAGCGAGUGAGUGGUGGAUUUGCUUUAUUUUUUUCCCUUGGAAGUGAGAGGUGGUUUCCAGCAAAUGCCAAAAGUGGGUUUUCUCCUGGAUUUGGCUGCUGAAGUGUGGGACUGUGCUGUUUCCAUCCCAGGAGCUGCUCUCCCACUGCUCCCAGAUCAAAUGCAAACAGGAGCUGUGGGAGGCCAGCCCGUCUCUAACUGCAUGAAUCCAUCUGAAGGGAAAAGACAAAAUCCCCAAAUCUCGAAAUAAUGAAAACAAAGAUAUCCAAGUAAUAAAAUCUGCGAGAAGCACAAAGACAACAUAACUCAGAUCUCAGCUGGCUCAAAGAAAGUGUCCAUUAACAAGGGAUUAGCGGGAGGGAAGUACACAACCAGUCAAUAGGAAGUGAAAACACACCACACAGUCACUUCAUAUCACAGCCCAGUGCAGGGUUAGGAUGAAGGAUGAGUUGGUAAAGUCAGAAUAACAGCUACUCCAGAAAUCUAUCAAAUAAAAGAAAAAAAAAGUGCUGCCAAA